GCCAGACUCCUACGGGAGGCAGCAGUGGGGAAUCUUCCGCAAUGGGCGAAAGCCUGACGGAGCAACGCCGCGUGAUCGAAUGAAGGCCUUCGGGUUGUAAAGAUCUGUUGACAGGGACGAAUAAGCAAUGCGAAUAGUUUUGUGUAUGACAGUACCUGUUUAGAAGGCUCCGGCUAACUACGUGCCAGCAGCCGCGGUAAUACGUAGGGGGCAAGCGUUAUCCGGAUUCACUGGGUGUAAAGGGAGCGUAGACGGCGACGCAAGUCUGGAGUGAAAGCCCGGGGCCCAACCCCGGGACUGCUCUGGAAACUGCGUCGCUGGAGUACGGGAGGGGCAGGCGGAAUUCCUGGUGUAGCGGUGAAAUGCGUAGAUAUCAGGAGGAACACCGGCGGCGAAGGCGGCCUGCUGGACCGUGACUGACGUUGAGGCUCGAGAGCGUGGGGAGCAAACAGGAUUAGAUACCCGAGUA
rnacentral:rRNA from 1 species